UUUGACUAAUCCGGAAAAAAAAUCAUUUCACAUUUUUGAAAUAAAAAUAUGGUAACUCCAUGAAAAAAAAGUCGUAAACAAAUUAUUGACAAUUAAAAAAGGAGUUUAAAUUGUUUUUUAUAAUAUAAACACCAAAAGUAAAAAUGCCAGGGGCUUCAAUACUUGCUGAUGAAGAAAUAAAUCAGCGGUCUACUGAAAAAUUCGUCGCCGGACAUUGAGGAACGCAUCAGAUCCUUUAUCUCACUCAAAUGCAGAAUUUAUAACUUAUUAUCGGCUAAAUAAAGAAGCUUUUGUUUUAGUUUUGGAAAAAAUUUCUCCCCACCUCAAACGUUCCAAUAUACCGGCUAUUAUCCAGCUUGCAACAACGCUUAGGUUUUUGGCUACGGGUGCAUUUCAAGGAGUUGUAGGUAGAGAUGUGGAGCUAAGCCUUGGGAGAAGUACAGUUUCUACAAUUAUGUGGAGAGUUAUUAAGGCAAUUGAAGCUGAAAUUUGUCCACAUUGGAUCAAAUUAAGAAUGUCUUCCGAAGAAAAAAGAUAGUCGAAAUUGUACUUUUUUGAAAAUUAUGAAAUUCCAGGAAUUGUAGGAUGCAUUGACGGAACUCACGUUAGAAUGGUUAAACCUUCCGAAGACGAAUCCCUUUUUUAUAAUAGAAAAGGGACAUUGCUUUUUGGUCUGUCAGUUGUACAUUUCUACACCUUCUUCUUCAACACAUAUGGCAAUAAUUCAACAAUACAAGUCUGCCGUUCAUUUCUGCAUA